GGCAGUGAAACUCUAGCCUGUGAGAUUUUAGUAGAGCUAGGAGCAGAUGAUGAGGGGAAACUGAGACCCAAGACCCCCUGGAUGCUGAGUCAGCAGGUGGUCACAUCCACCCCCUCCGUUUGCAGCUGAGGAAAAUGAGACAAAGUCUCUCCAUGUAGCUCACACAGGCUGCAAACUCACAGUGUCUCGGCCUCCACACCCUGCCUACCUUUGAAUCUGGCUCUGCCCAGUGAGGAACUUCAUCCGGCCUAGGAGACCUUCCAGAUGGAGGGAUCAGCAUGGACAGAGGAGAGCCUGAGCUCAGGAGAUGAGGAAGUGGCCCAGGAUCUGGGAGUGACAUGAGGCUACAAGGAAAACAGACCUGAUGGCACGUCCUUUGUUAGCCACAGGCAAUGGUGGAUUUUGUCCUGAAUACAAGAGGCAGCCCCUGGAAGGCUUGAAGCA